rnacentral:rRNA from 1 species
AUUGAACGCUGGCGGAAUGCUUUACACAUGCAAGUCGAACGGCAGCACGGGAGCUUGCUCCUGGUGGCGAGUGGCGAACGGGUGAGUAAUAUAUCGGAACGUACCUUUCAGUGGGGGAUAACGUAGCGAAAGUUACGCUAAUACCGCAUAUUCUGUGAGCAGGAAAGCAGGGGGAUCGCAAGACCUUGCGCUGAUUGAGCGGCCGAUAUCAGAUUAGCUAGUUGGUGAGGUAAAGGCUCACCAAGGCGACGAUCUGUAGCGGGUCUGAGAGGAUGAUCCGCCACACUGGAACUGAGACACGGUCCAGACUCCUACGGGAGGCAGCAGUGGGGAAUUUUGGACAAUGGGCGCAAGCCUGAUCCAGCCAUGCCGCGUGAGUGAAGAAGGCCUC